UACAGAGGGCUCAAGCGUUGUUCGGAUUCAUUGGGCGUAAAGGGUGUGUAGGUGGCGCCGUAAGUCGGGGGUGAAAUUUCGGAGCUUAACUCCGAAACUGCAUUCGAUACUGCGGUGCUUGAGGACUGGAGAGGAGACUGGAAUUCAUGGUGUAGCAGUGAAAUGCGUAGAGAUCAUGAGGAAGACCAGUGGCGAAGGCGGGUCUCUGGACAGUUCCUGACACUGAGACACGAAGGCCAGGGGAGCAAACGGG
rnacentral:rRNA from 1 species